AGUGAACGCUGGCGGUAGGCCUAACACAUGCAAGUCGAACGGCAGCACAGUAAGAGCUUGCUCUUACGGGUGGCGAGUGGCGGACGGGUGAGGAAUACAUCGGAAUCUACUUUUUCGUGGGGGAUAACGUAGGGAAACUUACGCUAAUACCGCAUACGACCUACGGGUGAAAGCAGGGGAUCUUCGGACCUUGCGCGAAUGAAUGAGCCGAUGUCGGUUUAGCUAGUUGGCGGGGUAAAGGCCCACCAAGGCGACGAUCCGUAGCUGGUCUGAGAGGAUGAUCAGCCACACUGGAACUGAGACACGGUCCAGACUCCUACGGGAGACAGCAGUGGGGAAUAUUGGACAAUGGGCGCAAGCCUGAUCCAGCCAUACCGCAUGAGUGAAGAAGACCUUCGGGUUGUAAAGCCCUUUUAUUGGGAAAGAAAAGCAGCAGGUUAAUACCCCGCUGUUCUGACGGUACCCAAAGAAUAAGCACCGGCUAACUUCGUG
rnacentral:rRNA from 1 species